GUGGGGAAUAUUGGGCAAUGGGCGAAAGCCUGACCCAGCAACGCCGCGUGAAGGAAGAAGGCCUUCGGGUUGUAAACUUCUUUUAUGAGGGACGAAGGAAGUGACUGUACCUCAUGAAUAAGCAACGGCUAACUACGUGCCAGCAGCCGCGGUAAUACGUAGGUGGCAAGCGUUGUCCGGAUUUACUGGGUGUAAAGGGCGCGUAGGCGGACUGGCAAGUCAGAUGUGAAAUCCAUGAGCUCAACUCAUGAACUGCAUUUGAAACUGUUGGUCUUGAGUAUCGGAGAGGCAAGCGGAAUUCCUAGUGUAGCGGUGAAAUGCGUAGAUAUUAGGAGGAACACCAGUGGCGAAGGCGGCUUGCUGGACGACAACUGACGCUGAGGCGCGAAAGCGUGGGGAGCAAACAGGAUUAGAAACCCUGGUAGUCC
rnacentral:rRNA from 1 species